rnacentral:pre_miRNA from 1 species
AGAGGAAUAGCUGGGUCAAAUGGUAGUUCCAUUCCCAGAUUUCCAAGGAAUCUCCAUACUGCUUUGCAAAUUGGCUGUACCAAUUUGAGUCCCACCAGCAAU